UCCCUAUGGGGUGCAGCAGUCGCGAAAAUUUUGCAAUACACGAAAGUGUGACAGAGCUAUCCCGAGUGCCAUCCGCUGAGGAAGGCUUUUACCCAGUAUAAAUAGCUGGGAGAAUAAGGAGAGGGCAAGUCUGGUGUCAGCCGCCGCGGUAAUACCAGCUCUCCGAGUAGUGUGGACGUUUAUUGGGCCUAAAGCAUCCGUAGCUUGCUAGAUAAGUCCCCUGUUAAAUCCACCGAUUCAAUCGUUGGAUUGCGGGGGAUACUGCUUGGCUAGGGGACGGGAGAGGUCGACGGUAUUUCCGGGGUAGGGGUGAAAUCCUAUAAUCCCGGGAAGACCACCAGUGGCGAAGGCUGUCGACUAGAACGCGCCCGACGGUGAGGGAUGAAAGCUGGGGGAGCGAACCGGAUUAGAUACCCGGGUAGUCCCAGCUGUAAACGAUGCAGGCUAGGUGUUUGGGCGGCCACGAGCCGCCCUAGUGCCGCAGGGAAGCUGUUAAGCCUGCCGCCUGGGGAGUGCGGCCGCAAGGCUGAAACUUAAAGGAAUUGGCGGGGGAGCACCACAAGGGGUGAAGCUUGCGGUUUAAUUGGAUUCAACGCCGGAA
rnacentral:rRNA from 1 species